rnacentral:lncRNA from 1 species
CCGCUGCGCCGGGGGGUGGGGGGGCCGAACGGGACUCUUUUCUUUCAGACUGACCGCGGGGCAGCUGCGGAGCAUGUCGACCCCGGCCCGUAGGAGGCUCAUGCGGGAUUUCAAGCGAUUGCAAGAGGACCCACCUGUGGGGGUCAGUGGUGCACCAUCUGAAAACAACAUCAUGCAGUGGAACGCAGUUAUAUUUGGACCAGAAGGGACACCCUUUGAAGAUGGUAAGUCAUUCUUAUUAUCUACAUAUUAAAAGGGUGCUUUUUGGUAAGAGGCUCUAACACUAUUUGAAGACAGGCUCUACUCUUAGUAAACUCUUUGCAUACUAAGCAAGCAAGUGAAAAAUUAAGAGUUUAUGAGGAUCUGUUUUUGCAGAUCAGCUUGGUCACCUCUCACCAGUUUCCUCUGUGACAUGGGCUGCCUCUACAGCUGUAGGUCUAAGUGGGUCUGUGCUAUAGUUGGGUGGCCUAAUAGAGGUUGCUCUUCAGUUAAUACCAAGAGGGUGAUUGUAUUUCCUUGCUUUAUUGUCUGCAUUGAUAAGGGUCUUAUGAUAAAAAUUUUCAUUUCUUCUUUUCCCUCCUGCUAGGGAUCAAAUCCAGAGUUUAGUGUGUUCUAGGCAAGCACUCCACUGCCAGGCAUCCCUGAGUCCUGAAUCUGUAGUCACCGGUAGCUUCACUACUCAGCAUUUAGCACCCAGAAACACUGUGCAGUCAUUUGCGUCUCAAGUUGGGUCUCUCUGACAGGAGCCAGGAAAAUGGGAGAAUGGUUCUAAUCUGUAAUCACAAUUAAGUUUAUU